rnacentral:rRNA from 1 species
AGUGAGCGCUGGCGGCAUGCCUAACACAUGCAAGUCGAACGGAAGCACAGUAAGAGUUUGCCUUUACGGGUGGCGGGUGGCGGACGGGUGAGACAUACAUCGGAAUCUACUUUUACGUGGGGGAUAACGUAGGGAAAGUUACGCUAAUACCGCAUACGACCUACGGGUGAAAGCAGGGGUUCUUCGGACCUUUUGCGUAUCACUGAGCCUAUGCCGGCUUAGCUAUUUGGCGGGGUAAAGGCCCACCAAGGCGACGAUCCGCAGGCGGUCUGAGAGGAUGAUCAGCCACACUGGAACUGAGACACGGUCCAGACUCCUAAGGGAGGGAGCAGUUGGGAAUAUUGGACAAUGGGCGCAAGCCUGAUCGAGCCAUACCGCGUGGGUGAAGAAGGCCUUCGGGUUGUAAAACCCUUUUGUUGGGGAAGAAAAGCAGCAGGAGAAACCCCCCAUGUUCUGACGGUACCCAAACAAUAAGCACCGGCUAACUUCGUG